CUCCUUGGCCUGGCUCCCCUGGGAACUUUGGUGGAGAAAGGUCUGUGUGAACAGGGAUUAAGCUGACUGUCCUCUGGGUGGAGCCCUUCGGCCAUGGAAGGCGGAGGAGCUGGACUUCCGAGCAUCGAUUCAGCAUCUGCUGAUCUCUCCCAACCACCAGACUCUCCUGGCUAUUGGAGAUCUCCGACUCCAAGGCCCAAGCCCUCCCAGUUGAGAGCUCCCAAGUGCAGUAUCUACUGCCAAGACAGGGGUAUCUUCCCCAGAGUCCAGUAGGCAUGUUUCCAAAUUUUCUUGUUGUUUAACAGAUUUCAUUGACAACUCAAAACAUGCAGCUGGCUGGUGGGAAGCAGGGAGAAUCUGGAGGCAAAUGAGAUGGAGCCCUCGUUCUCCAAGAGGUGGCUGUUCUCCUGAUGCAGACAGACAUGGACACAAACACAGUGUGAGGAUGGAAUGGAAGCGUGGUGGGGAGGGGAGGAGAGGGAGCGCUAGACAGGACCAAGGCAGCCUCACCAUUGCACGUUGGAGCCCUGAUGCCCAGUCCCAGGGCAUAGUCUCCCAAUCCAGGGCCCCCUGUUCUGGUGAACUCAUGCUCUGCACUAAAAAUCAGCAACACACAACCGGGCAAGUGUGAAGGUCCAAGGCGGCAGGGGGCCAGUGUAUUUGAAAUAGAGGUUGUCCCAGGAUUCAGGUCCCUGUUCCCAUCGCCCUUUGGGAAAGGCGGUAGUGUGGCUCAGUUGAAUUGAGAAUAGAAAGGGGACUUGCUGGGAAGGGGAGAGUAGGUGGUCCUCUCCUGCCUCCUGGGAGUUUUGGCUGGGGAUUGGGAAACUGGGACUGGAAGAGAAGCUGGGGAUCAGGGAUGCCAGGAGAGAAGGGGCAGUCUUCACUUUGUUUGGCAGAGAUCAAGCGCAGGGCCAUUUGGCAUGCCAGCAGGGCUGAAAAUGAGCCACUGUAGGACCUGGGUACACAGGACCCCUCUCCUCCUCAUGCACUCCGAGGCCCAUUCUUAUGCCUCUCAGACAAGUAUGGUGAGUUGAUCCUAGAUUCAGUCUGGGCUGGGGAUCAGAGCCCUGAGCCUCUCCC
rnacentral:lncRNA from 1 species